GGUGGGGCAGACGAAAGGCGCCGUGUGCCCCCACCUACUGGAGGAUCAACAUUAUCAUGGCAACCCUGAGGAGGCCGUGAGAGUCUCUGGGGUCCUUGCCGGCCUGCAGAAAAUCAAGCUUUGAGCGGGAAGCUUCGAGGAGACACAGUGUCACAAUUACAAGGAACUGGAAUUUCCCUUUAAUCCGGUCCAGGGACCCCGGGACAGUGAACUUGAAGGGCUGGCCUGCAGCCUGGUGCCGCGUCGGGUGCCAGAUCUGCGGAAACAUCGCUCUGGCGGCUGCCGGGGCUCUGUUCCCGGGCAGCUCAAUUCUCCGGUCAUUUUCCAACUUUCCCGCCGAGGAAAAUUAAGCACGGAAGCCGGGCAGAAGCGGGUAGCGCAGGGGGUGCGCUCGGCUUGGCGCACCUGCCACUCGGUCCCGCGGCUGCUCCUGCUGGUUUUUGGCAAUUAUUAACAAGAUUGCUAUCAAUGUCCCUGUGAAGACUUGUGUGGACAUCAGUUUCUAACUCAUUUAGGUAAGUACCCACACAUGCAAUUGCUAAAUUGAAUGUUUAUCUUUGUAAGAGCAUGCCAGACUGUCUUCCAAAGUGGCUUUUUAUCUUUCAUUCAUAGGAAAAAUUAAUGAGACUUCCUGUUGCUUUGCAUUUUCUCCAGCAUUUUUGGUGUUAGUGUUUUGGCUUUUAGCCACCCUACUAGGUACCUCAUUGCUUUAAUUUGCACCUCCCUAAUGACAUGAUGUUGAGCUUGUCAUAUGCUUAUUGCUUUCUAUCUUGUAUGAGGUGUCUUUCCAGAUAUUUUGACCAUAUUAUAAUUGGUUGAUUGUUUUCUUUCUGAGUUUUAAUAGUUCUUUGUAUAUUUUGACUACCAAUUCUUUAUCAAGUGUGUUUUUUGAAAAAUGUCUUGUUCCAGUCUGCAGUUGUCUUUUCAUUCUCUUAACAGUACCUUUGGCAAAACAAAAUUAAUUCCAAUAAAGCCCAAUUUAUUAGUUUUCUUUUUCAUAAAUCAUGCAUUUGGCAUUGCAUCUAAAACCUUAUUGCCACACCCUAGGUGGUUUGUGUUAUCUUCUAGAAGUUUCAAAUUGUGGAUUUUAUGUUUAGAUUUAUGAUAAUUUUGAGCUAAUUUUGUGAAAGUUGCAAGGUCUAUGUCUCCUUUAUUUUUUGUUAUAUGGGUGUUCAGAUGUCGAGCAAUAAUUGUUGAAAGAAUUAUAUUUUUUCCAUUGAAUUUCCUUUGCUCCUUUUUCGAAGAUCAGUUAACUGUAUUUAUGUGCAUUUAUUUCUGGGUUUUCUGUUCUAUGGUGUAUUUGUGUAUUCUUUUUCAAAUAAAACACUGUCUUGAUUACUCUAGCUGUAUUAAGUCUUGAAGUGAGGUAGUGUGAAUACUGUCAAUUUCUUCUUCACUAUUCAUUGACGGUUCUGGAGCUUUUGCAUUUCUGUUACCAGUUGAGGGUAGUUGUCCAGCUUCUUGGCAUUUUGAACAAAGAAUUGGACAAAAUGCACCUACAAAGCAAGGCAGCAAAAGCAGAGAUUUAUUAUAAACGAAAGUAUACUCCAGAGGGUGGGCAUGGGCUUGAAAAAAUGGCUCAAGACUGUCAGUUACAGAAUUUUCUGGGGUUUAAAUACCCUCUAGAGGUAUCCCAUUGGUUCACUCUAUGCAAAUGUAGUGGCCCAUGACCAGUCUGAUUGGUUGUGGGAGGGGAACAGUAGGCCCACGACCAGUCUGAUUGACUGUGGGAAGGAACCAAAUGGGGGUACUUUCAUUUUUCAACUGCCAUGCAGAAGAAGGAGGGGUUGAAAAGAGAGUGGCCUCGCCUAUCCAAAUUAGCACGAAUCAACCUUAGGUUCCCUGUCUCCAGACACUAUUCUCCUGCUUCAUUUCUAUAUAACCUUUAGAAUCAGUUUUUUGUAUAAGUUGUUAGGAUUUUUGUUGGGAUUGUGUUGAAUCUGUAAUUCAAAUCCAGGAGACCUAACCUUAAAACAAUAUUGAGGCCUCCUAUCCAUGACAUAAAAUGUAUUUCCAUUUUUUUAGACCUUCUUUGAUUCUUUUAAAUAGAAAUGUAUAAUUUUUGUCAAAAGGUCUUUGUUAUAUUUCUACAUAGGAGUUUCUUUCUCUCUAUUUUUCUCAGUAUCAUAGUGGUGUUGUGUUUUUCAUUUCAUAUCUACUUGUUCUUUGCUGAUAUACAGGAAAACGUUUGACUUUUCUAUAUCAACCACAUAUUCUACAACCUGAUUAUUACUAUCUCUUAGUAGUUCCAGGAGUUCUUUGUUUGGUCAUUUGGGAUUUUUUUUACAUAGUCAGUUAUGUCAUAUGCAAACUAAAACAGUUUUAUUUCUUCUUUCACAAUAUCAAUGUCUUUUUUUCUCUUUUCUUGUCUUAUGUUUUUUCUGCAACUAUUAAUAGAAUUAAAUGAUUUAUGUUGUUUAGCUUUUUGUUGUAAUGGAUUAUAUUAACUGACUUUUGAAUUUUAAAUUAGCCUUUCCUACCUGUAAUAAUUUUCACUUGAUUGUAAUGUAUAAUUUUUUUUUUUUUUUUUUGAGAUAGGGUCUUGCUCUGUGACCAAGGUUGGAGUGCAGUGGUGUCACCUAUUAUGGUUCUUUUUAUACAUUUUUAGAUUAGAUUCAGUUUGCUACUAUGUGGGAUACGAUAAGGUUUCUCUUCAAAUAGCCUGAUCAAUCCUUUAUUCUUUAAUUCACAGUACCACCCCCUUCCCUUUCCUUCUCUUUUCUUUCCUUUCUGCUUUUGCUACAUGCCCAGGCAUGUCACAGUACCAGGCGUUAUCAGUCCAGCUCACAUUCCUUUCCUUAUUUGGGAAGAAGACUAGCUCUGUAGCUCAUCGCAGACACCCCUUCCCCCUCUCCCCUCUUUCCCUUAUGUGCCCACCUUAUCUAAAGAAAGUUCAAAUGUUUAGUCAACCAGGUCUAGUUUAGAUUGUGUGGCCUGACUUCAGCCACUGGGGAAAGGGCACUGGGGCAGGAUUUGUGUCAGGGAUAAAAACUUUCAUCCUCCUUUGUCCUUGGCGACUGGUCAAGGAGAAGCACCCCUCUGCACAGAAAUAAAUUUGCUUUGCUGAGAAA